rnacentral:rRNA from 1 species
UACGAAGGGGGCUAGCGUUGUUCGGAAUUACUGGGCGUAAAGCGCACGUAGGCGGAUUGUUAAGUCAGGGGUGAAAUCCCAGAGCUCAACUCUGGAACUGCCUUUGAUACUGGCAAUCUCGAGUCCGGAAGAGGUGAGUGGAACUCCUAGUGUAGAGGUGGAAUUCGUAGAUAUUAGGAAGAACACCAGUGGCGAAGGCGGCUUACUGGUCCGGUUCUGACGCUGAGGCGCGAAAGCGUGGGGAGCAAACAGG